rnacentral:rRNA from 1 species
AUUGAACGCUGGCGGCGUGCUUAACACAUGCAAGUCGAACGGUAAGGCCCUUCGGGGUACACGAGUGGCGAACGGGUGAGUAACACGUGGGUGAUCUGCCCUGCUCUUCGGGAUAAGCCUGGGAAACUGGGUCUAAUACCGGAUAGGACUCCGGACUGCAUGGUCUGGGGUGGAAAGCUUUUGCGGUGUGGGAUGGGCCCGCGGCCUAUCAGCUUGUUGGUGGGGUGAUGGCCUACCAAGGCGACGACGGGUAGCCGGCCUGAGAGGGUGACCGGACACAGUGGGGCUGGGAUACGGCGCAGACUCCUACGGGAGGCAGCAGUGGGGAAUAUUGCACAAUGGGCGCAAGCCUGAUGCAGCGACGCCGCGUGAGGGAUGACGGCCUUCGGGUUGUAAACCUCUUUCAGCAUCGACGAAGCGAAAGUGACGGUAGGUGCAGAAGAAGGACCGGCCAACUACGUGCCGGCCGCCGCGGUAA